GGAGGAGCAGGGGGACUUGGAGGAGCUGGACUAGGAGGGCUCGGAGGAGGUGCUGCUGCUGCAAAAGCUGCCAAAUACGGAGUUGGAGGUCUGGGAGGAGCAGCUGGUCUUGGAGGUCCUGGAGGACUCGGGGCGACAGGAGGACUGGGAGGGCUAGGAGGUGCUGCUGCUGCUGCCAAAGCUGCUAAAUAUGGUGCAGGAGGACUUGGGGGAGCAGGAGG